CAUGGGGGAAACCCUGAUGCAGCGACGCCGCGUGGAGGAAGAAGGUCUUCCGNAUUGUAAACUCCUGUUGUUGAGGAAGAUAAUGACGGUACUCAACAAGGAAGUGACGGCUAACUACGUGCCAGCAGCCGCGGUAAAACGUAGGUCACAAGCGUUGUCCGGAAUUACUGGGUGUAAAGGGAGCGCAGGCGGGANAACAAGUUGGAAGUGAAAUCCAUGGGCUCAACCCAUGAACUGCUUUCAAAACUGUUUUUCUUGAGUAGUGCAGAGGUAGGCGGAAUUCCCGGUGUAGCGGUGGAAUGCGUAGAUAUCGGGAGGAACACCAGUGGCGAAGGCGGCCUACUGGGCACCAACUGACGCUGAGGCUCGAAAGUGUGGGUAGCAAACAGGAUUAGAUACCCUGGUAGUCCAAGGGCGAAUUC
rnacentral:rRNA from 1 species